rnacentral:rRNA from 1 species
AUUGAACGCUGGCGGCAGGCUUAACACAUGCAAGUCGAGCGAGCGGCGGACGGGUGAGUAAUGUCUGGGAAACUGCCUGAUGGAGGGGGAUAACUACUGGAAACGGUAGCUAAUACCGCAUACCAUCGGAUGUGCCCAGAUGGGAUUAGCUAGUAGGUGGGGUAAAGGCUCACCUAGGCGACGAUCCCUAGCUGGUCUGAGAGGAUGACCAGCAACACUGUAACUGAGACACGGUCCAGCUGCCUACGGGAGGCAGCAGUGGGGAAUAUUGCACAAUGGGCGCAAGCCUGAUGCAGCCAUGCCGCGUGUGUGAAGAAGGCCGUCGGGUUGUAAAGCACUUUCAGCGAGGAGGCGUUACCCGCAGAAGAAGCACCGGCUAACUCCGUGCCAGCGGCCGCGGUAAUUC